AUUGAGAAGAGUUUGAUCAUGAAACCAGGUGUGAACACUGGCGGCAUUUGCUGCAUACAAGUCCUGGGAAACGACGCUGGGAAGCGCGCUUUGCGGCAAAUUGGCGGACGGUGGUAUGCAGGAAGCACCUGAUGGGAGGAUAACUACUGGAAACAUUUAAUACCGCGCCGUGCGGGCAAGGGGACCUUCAGGCCUCUGCCAUCGGAAAUGUGCCCAGAUGGGAUUGGCUAGUUAUUGGUGAGGUAACGGCUCACCAAGGCGACGAUCUAGCUGAGGUGUGGAUGGUAAAGCCACACGGAACUGGGGCACGGGUGGGCUUUCCCUGCGGAGGCAGUGGGAAUAUUGCACAAUGGGCGCAAACCUGAUGCUGGCAACCAUGCCGCACGUGUAUGAAAGAAGGCCUUCCGGGUUGUAAAAGUACUUUCAGCGGGGAGGAAGGUAUUUGUGGUUAACCACGGCAAUUGACGUUACCGCAGAAAAACACCGGCUAACUCCGUGCCAGCAGCCGCGGUAACCCAAUACGGAGGGUGCAAGCGUUAAUCCGUACUGGGUAAAAGCGCACGCAGGCGGUCUGUCAAGUCCGGAUGUGAAAUCCCCGGGCUCAGCUUGCAGGGAACUGCAUUCGAAAACUGGCAGGCUUGAGGUGCUAGCCAGAGGGGGUAGAAUUCGAGGUGUAGCGGUGAAAUGCGUAGGAUACCGGAAGGCCACCGGUGGCGAAGAGCGGCCCACGGACGGAACUUGACGCUCAGGUGCGAAAGCGUGGGGAGCAAGCAGGAUUAGAUACCUGGUAGUCACACGCCGUAAACGUGUCUACUUGGAGGUUGUGCCGCGAGGCGUGGCUUCCGGAGCUAACGUUAAGUAGACCGCACGGGAGUACACGGCCCGCAAGGUUAAAACUCAAAUAAUUGACGGGGGCCCGCACAGCGGCGGUGGAGCAUGUGGUUUAAUUCCGAUGCAACACGAAGAACCCCGCAGGUGACAUCCACAGAACUUUCAGAAUGGACUGGUGCCCGGGAACUGUGAGACAGGUGCUGCAUGGCUGUCGUCAGCUCGUGUUGUGAAAUGUUGGGUUAAGUCACAACGAGCGCAACCCUUAUCGCGUGUUGCCAGCGGUCCGGCCGGGAACUCAAGGAGACUGCCGGUAAACGGAGGAAGGUGGGGAUGACGUCAAGUCAUCGCCGUACCCGGCGGGGCCACACGGCCUUUACAAUAGCGCAUACAAAGAGAAGCGACACUCGCGAGGAAACGAAAGCGGACCUCAUAAAGUGCGUCGUAGUCGGAUUGGAGUCUGCAACUCGACUCCAUGAAGUCGGAAUCGCUAGUAAUCGUGGAUCAGAAUGCCACGGUGGUACGUUCCGGGCCUUUGUACACACGCGUGCACCAUGGGAGUGGGUUUAAAAGUAGGCGGCAACCUUCGGGAGGGCGCUUACCACUUUGUGAUUCAUGACUGGGGUGAAGUCGUAACAAAGGAAUGGCCGUAGGGAACACCACGGUUGGAUCACCUCGCUG
rnacentral:rRNA from 1 species